rnacentral:rRNA from 1 species
GUCCACGCCGUAAACGAUAAUCACUAGAUGUUAGUCCGGCUUAGCUGGAUUAGUGUCGUAGCUAACGCGUUAAGUGAUUCGCCUGGGGAGUACGGUCGCAAGGCUAAACUUAAAGAAUUGACGGGGUCCGCACAAGCGGUGGAACAUGUGGUUUAAUUCGACACUACGCGAGAAACCUUACCUGGACUUGACAUGUACUCGACAGCUGUAGAAAUACAGUCUUUUGGGUUUCGAUUCAAACGGGUACACAGGUGCUGCAUGGCUGUCGU